ensembl:snRNA U6 U6 spliceosomal RNA
GCGUUCAUUUCAGUAGCACAUAUACUAAAAUUGGAAUGACAGAGAGAUUAAUGGUCCCUGCACAAGGAUGACAAACAAAUUCAUGAAGUGUUCCAUGUUUUU